GUAUUUAUAGGAAGCAGAGCCCAUUUUCUUUUGCCAGGGCAGGGGCACAGGAGCUGAGGUCAACCAGCCGGGUCCACUUGCUCCAGACUGUGCAUGUGGAGCUGAUGACACAGGAGAGCAGAAUCUGGGAGAGCACUUACUGGGCAGUGGGUGACAGCAGUGGCGGGACGCUGCCCAAGAACCAGCAGCACUGUGGCAUCUUCAUUUUACCUGAAGGAAUUUUGCCUGGGAGCCUCCUUUAUGCUCUCGAUUGAUAAAUAUUACAGCUCAAGAGGACGUGAGAGUUCAUCACCAGCCUGAAUCAUAUGGAGAAGUAAAAGGGUCUGGAGAGGACAGGUGAAGAGCCAGUGACAGAGCUGGGACCGGAGCCCAGAGCUCUUAUCGCCCAAUCCAGUGCUUUUCCUGAACGCCAUUCUACCGCGACUGUGUGGCGAAGCUGCCAGGAUGGAUGGGUCUGGUCUCACUGCAGGAAUCACACAAGCCUCAGGAUACUUUCCUUCAGCCCACUUUCUACAAGAUUGGGAAAAGCAAUCAUCCACAGGGUAUCCCUUCGGUGUCCAGGAAAAAAGUUGUAAGUGAUGAGAUGGAAGGGCAAUGGCAUUUCUUUCCACAGAUUGGUCAGUACAACAAGGUCAGUGAUUGCCUAAAAUUGUGGGCCCAGUCCCACGGGGCAAGCAGAGUAGUGGAACAGGGGAGAAAACUCCUGAGAGAGAGGAAGAAGCACAGCUUUGGAAAAGAUGACAGACUCAAGUCUGAAUCUUGGCUCUGACACUUAUUAGCUUUGGUCUCUGGGCAAGGAAUUAACCUC